rnacentral:lncRNA from 1 species
AUGGAGUUUGUGCUGAGUUGGGUUUUCCUUGCUGCUAUUUUAAAAGGUGUCCAGUGUGAGGUGCAGCUGGUGGAGUCUGCGGGAGGCCUUGGUACAGCCUGGGGGGUCCCUUAGACUCUCCUGUGCAGCCUCUGGAUUCACUUGCAGUAACGCCUGGAUGAGCUGGGUCCGCCAGGCUCCAGGGAAGGGGCUGGAGUGGGUUGGCUGUAUUAAAAGCAAAGCUAAUGGUGGGACAACAGACUACGCUGCACCUGUGAAAGGCAGAUUCACCAUCUCAAGAGAUGAUUCAAAAAACACGCUGUAUCUGCAAAUGAUCAGCCUGAAAACCGAGGACACGGCCGUGUAUUACUGUACCACAGG